AUUGAACGCUGGCGGCAUGCUUUACACAUGCAAGUCGAACGGCAGCGCGGGCUUCGGCCUGGCGGCGAGUGGCGAACGGGUGAGUAAUGCAUCGGAACGUGCCCAGUAGUGGGGGAUAGCCCGGCGAAAGCCGGAUUAAUACCGCAUACGACCUGAGGGUGAAAGCGGGGGACCGAAAGGCCUCGCGUUUUUGGACCGGCGAUGGCGGGUUAGGUAGGUGGGUGGGGAAAGGCUUACCAAGGCGACGGUCCGUAGCUGGUCUGAGAGGAAGACCAGCCACACUGGGACUGAGACACGGCCCAGACUCCUACGGGAGGCAGCAGUGGGGAAUUUUGGACAAUGGGGGCAACCCUGAUCCAGCCAUGCCGCGUGCGGGAAGAAGGCCUUCGGGUUGUAAACCGCUUUUGUUCGGGAAGAAAUCCUCUGGGCUAAUACCCCGGGGGGAUGACGGUACCGGAAGAAUAAGCACCGGCUAACUACGUG
rnacentral:rRNA from 1 species